UACGAAGGGGGCUAGCGUUGCUCGGAAUCACUGGGCGUAAAGCGCACGUAGGCGGAUUGUUAAGUCAGGGGUGAAAUCCUGGAGCUCAACUCCAGAACUGCCUUUGAUACUGGCGAUCUCGAGUCCGGGAGAGGUGAGUGGAACUGCGAGUGUAGAGGUGAAAUUCGUAGAUAUUCGCAAGAACACCAGUGGCGAAGGCGGCUCACUGGCCCGAUACUGACGCUGAGGUGCGAAAGCGUGGGGAGCAAACCGG
rnacentral:rRNA from 1 species